rfam:Xylona heveae TC161 unplaced genomic scaffold L228scaffold_5, whole genome shotgun sequence.
GGACCUAUGGCGCAACGGUAGCGCGUUCGACUCCAGAUCGAAAGGCUGUGUGUUCAAAUCACACUGGGUUCA